UCCCGGGGGCCGCGCUCCCCCGCCCCACGUAGCGGCGGCCGCUGCUGCCGCCGCCUCCACCUCCUCCACCAGCUCCACCACCACCACCAUCUCCUCCUCCUCUUCCUCCACCACCUCGGGCCCCGGUGUCCCCGGCCAGCACUAUGCCCAUCUUACUGUUCCUGAUAGACACGUCCGCCUCUAUGAACCAGCGCAGCCAUCUGGGCACCACCUACCUGGACACGGCCAAAGGCGCGGUAGAGACCUUCAUGAAGCUCCGUGCCCGGGAUCCAGCCAGCAGAGGAGACAGGUAUAUGCUGGUCACUUUCGAAGAGCCUCCCUAUGCUAUUAAGGCUGGAUGGAAAGAAAACCACGCCACGUUUAUGAAUGAACUGAAAAACCUUCAAGCUGAAGGACUUACGACUCUUGGCCAAUCCCUAAGGACAGCUUUUGAUUUAUUAAAUUUAAAUAGAUUAGUAACUGGCAUAGACAACUAUGGGCAGGGAAGAAACCCUUUUUUCCUGGAGCCAGCAAUAAUUAUAACAAUUACUGAUGGGAGCAAGUUGACUACUACCAGUGGAGUCCAGGAGGAGCUCCAUUUACCUCUUAAUUCACCUUUGCCUGGAAGUGAAUUGACCAAGGAACCUUUCCGCUGGGAUCAGAGACUCUUUGCAUUAGUGUUGCGGUUGCCUGGUACCAUGGCUGUUGAAUCAGAGCAGUUGACAGGUGUGCCUCUAGAUGAUUCUGCAAUCACACCAAUGUGUGAGGUGACAGGAGGCCGCUCAUAUUCUGUGUGUUCUCCAAGAAUGCUUAAUCAGUGUCUGGAGUCCUUGGUGCAAAAGGUGCAAAGUGGGGUGGUGAUAAACUUUGAAAAAGCAGGACCAGAUCCUUCCCCCAUAGAAGAUGGACAGACAGAACUAUCAAGACCUUUUGGAUCUCAACCUUGGCACAGCUGUCAUAAGCUUAUCUACGUCAGACCAAACCCUAAAACUGGGGUUCCAAUAGGUCACUGGCCUGUUCCAGAAUCCUUUUGGCCAGAUCAAAAUUCUCCAACACUACCACCUCGGACAUCACACCCUGUGGUGAAGUUUUCUUGUACUGACUGUGAACCAAUGGUUAUUGAUAAACUGCCUUUUGACAAAUAUGAAUUAGAACCUUCACCACUGACCCAGUUUAUCCUGGAAAGGAAAUCCCCUCAAACCUGUUGGCAGGUAUAUGUGAGCAAUAGUGCAAAAUAUAGUGAACUUGGUCAUCCUUUUGGUUACUUGAAAGCUAGUACAGCAUUGAAUUGUGUCAAUUUAUUUGUGAUGCCUUAUAAUUAUCCAGUCCUCCUUCCUCUUUUAGAUGACUUGUUCAAGGUGCAUAAAGCAAAGCCAACAAUAAAGUGGAGACAGUCAUUUGAAAGUUAUUUGAAGACCAUGCCUCCCUACUAUCUUGGGCCCUUGAAGAAAGCUGUUAGAAUGAUGGGAGCGCCUAACCUUAUAGCAGACAGUGUGGAAUAUGGACUUAGUUAUAGUGUCAUUUCAUACCUCAAGAAAUUGAGUCAACAGGCCAAAAUAGAAUCUGAUAGAGUCAUCGGAUCUGUAGGCAAAAAAGUAGUGCAGGAAACUGGAAUUAAGGUCCGAAGCCGAUCACACAAUCUGUCAAUGGCAUAUAGGAAAGAUUUUCAACAUCUGCUACAGGGAAUUAAUGAGGAAGUUCCUCACAGACUUCUAGACCUCAACAUGAAGGAAUACACUGGGUUCCAAGUUGCUUUGCUGAAUAAGGAUUUGAAGCCACAGACCUUUAGAAAUGCUUAUGAUAUACCCAGACGAAAUCUUUUGGAUCAUUUAACAAGGAUGAGAUCUAAUCUUUUGAAGACAACCCGUAAAUAUCUUAAAGGUCAAGAUGAAGAUCAAGUGCACAGUGUUCCUAUAGCACAAAUGGGGAAUUACCAAGAGUACCUCAAGCAGAUACCCUCUCCUCUUAGAGAACUUGACCCUGACCAGCCUCGAAGGCUACAUACAUUUGGGAACCCCUUCAAGCUAGACAAAAAGGGUAUGAUGAUAGAUGAAGCAGAUGAAUUUGUAUCUGGACCUCAGAAUAAACACAAACGACCUGGAGAACCUAAUAUGCAAGGGAUCCCCAAAAGACGACGUUGUAUGUCUCCACUUCUAAGAGGAAGGCAGCAGACUCCUCCUAUUGCGAACAAUCAUAUUGGAGGAAAAGGGCCUCCUGUACCAACUGCACAAGCACAGCCAGACCUUAUCAAGCCUCUUCCUCUCCACAAAACUUCAGAAACCACUAAUGAUAUGGCAGUGGAUGAUGUGGUUGAGAAUCAUGUUGCAGACCAACUGUCAUCAGACAUUGCACCGAAUGUGAUGGAUUCUGAGUUUUCAGCAUCCUCUUCUCCAGUCAGUUUACUGGAGCGACCAACCAAUCACACGGAGGCUCUUGGCCAUGAUCAUUUAGGAACUAAUGACCUUACUGUGGGUGGAUUUUUAGAAAAUCAUGAGGAACCAAGAGAUAAAGAACAGUGUGCUGAGGAUAACAUACCAGCAUCUUCACUCAACAAAGGGAAGAAAUUGAUGCAUUGCAGAAGUCACGAGGAGGUCAACAUUGAAUUAAAAGCACAAAUAAUGAAGGAAAUUCGAAAGCCAGGAAGAAAAUAUGAAAGAAUCUUCACAUUACUGAAGCAUGUGCAAGGCAGUUUGCAAACAAGAUUAAUAUUUUUACAGAAUGUCAUUAAAGAAGCAUCAAGGUUUAAAAAGCGAAUGCUAAUAGAGCAAUUGGAGGGCUUCUUGGAAGAAAUUCAUCGCAGAUCCAAUCAGAUAAACCAUAUUAAUAGCAAUUAAAAAGAAACUAGAAUGUGGCCACCUCUUUCCCUCCCUGCCCCCAAACACAAAGUAAAAAUAUGACUGAAGGAGUCCACUGCUGUGAUCUUUGCAUUCGUUUUUGACAAGCACUGUUAGCUAUUUGAAAUACUAAAAGCAGCAAGUCUACAGAUCCUGUUUCCAUCAUUUUACAGUGACCUUUCUUCAUUUUGGUUUAUUUUUGUAAUGUGAAAAGUAUCACUCAAGAACAUUUUUAUUUAACAAACUAAAACACAAAAAAAUCCCAUAGAAAUUCUUGCUUGUCAUUGACUCUUGCGUGUCAAUUUCCCUCAGGUUCUAUUUUCUUAAUCCAACCUUCAAAAUUGUCACCUCUGUUAAGGUUGAAUUUUGCCAAAAAAGGAAAAAAAAGAAAAAAAGAAAAGAAAAAGACAAAAAAAGAAAAAAGUUACUUUGUAAUUUUUUGGGGAAAAAGCACAUACAUAAAAACAAGGAGAAGGAGAUUGGAGCCUCUGACCAUGUGAGUAUAAAAGGUCAGGAAAAGGCUCUGGCAUCCAGAGUCUGGGGUCCAGGGCCAGUGCAACACUGAUGCCCCAAGAAGCAAGGAGUGGCCUUUGGGAGUACAGCCCAGUGGUAGCUGAGACAAGAACUUCUACAGCAGAGAUGCCACUUUUGGACAUGAACUUUGAUGGGGACCAAUGUUAUGUAGGAACUGGAUUAGGUUUUGAGCCCAUUUCCUCUCAGAGACCAAGGUGGUGUGGGGAAAGGAUGCCCCUGAGGUAUUGUGGGAAAUGUCUGUAUGUUUGUUCUUGCUCCAUCUAUGAAGUAAACAUCUAUUUGUUAAAGCUGA